GGGCGUGCUCCAAUACGACAGUCCAAGGGGUUUGUCUGGGUCGUCUGAGUCAGGUGGUCGGCUAUGCCGUCUAGGGGCCGGAGGCCGCUGGCCGUACGGGCGCGGUGGUGGCGGCCGGCCGCCUGCCGCCGCCACCUUCGUGGCCGACUCGGGGUGCGAGCGCGCCCUGGCGACGAUGCGGGCGCGGAAGGCGAGGCGGCCGAAGGCGGUCCGGCAGCACGGCGAGGGGCUGCCGCGGCAGCAGGUGAAGACCGAGGGCGCGGGGCUGGGCCGCGAGGUGGGGCAGGAGGAGGAGGUGCCGAAGCCGCGGUUGCGGUGGACCGUCACCCGAGGGAAGGAGGCGGGCGAGUAGCGGCGGCCGGAGCGGGGAAAGCACGGCCUGGAGCAGAAGAAGCCGUUGAGGCGGAGGGGGUGGCGGCUGUCUAGGGGGCGGAUGGUCCGGCGGAGGCAGCGUCGGCGGUACCGGCGGGAGGGGCUGCACGGCGUCUCCAUGUCGCAGCAGCCGCAGUCGAUGCCGCCGAAGCAGCGGAUAGUGGAGCGGGUGCGGAAGGGGCGGCACCACCUCGCCGAGCACGAGCAGCGACGCCCACACACGGACCUCCUCCGGCUGGACCGCAGGCCCGACAAGCGGCACCUGCUGUAGAGCCUCCGCCGGUCGGACGACGACGGCGUCGCCGGCCUCCUAGACUCCUCCAACCACCUCGAGUGGAAGACGUUUGGUGGUUUCAAGUACGGCAGGACGAAGUAGUCCCUGAUGUAGUCCCAAUACACAUGACUUUUACACUUUCUUUUCUGACUCAACAAUAUACGGAACUAGUCACCAUCCUUCGAAAGCCUGGAAGGGUUUUAAUUGGUCGUUUGGAACUAUUAAACCCCUCUCGUUCUGUCCCAAAAGGGUAAUCUUGAACCGAACGCCAACUUUUCUGUAAACCCCCUAUGUAGCCUUAAUUGGUAGCAGUUCCUACGACCGGUACGGUAUUUGGCACUUUUCGGACGUCUCGAAACGUCUGAAUAUUUCUUGAUGUAGUAGCUGGGGAGCCAGUUUAUGGCCCUACUAGCGUUCGUCCCUACAACCUUCAAACGCAAUUCUUCCAAACGACCUAGCUCGGACUCCUUCCACCUGAGCUCGGCCGGUGACUAUAUUACGUGUAUAUAUAACUGAACAUAUGGUAAGACGUCACACGUAACACAACCUCACGACCAGCGUGACUUGGAAUUCCCGGAGAAACUAGAUACUGUCGAUGGAGUAGGUAAGUUAAACAUAUCUCUUUAGUACACAAGAAGCACACCACGUUGGUUUGUUGAUAAUGACUAAAUACACUCUAAGGUUUACGGUACUGCAGGAUAAGAACACCCAAAAGAUAAAACGUAAAAUGCCUAGGACGUUUACUUUU
rnacentral:rRNA from 1 species